UACGAAGGAGGCUAGCGUUGCUCGGAAUCACUGGGCGUAAAGCGUGCGUAGGCGGUUCUCCAAGUCCGUUGUGAAAGCCCCGGGCUCAACCUGGGAAUGGCAGUGGAAACUAGGGGACUGGAAUCUGGCAGAGGGGGGUGGAAUGCCGCGUGUAGCAGUGAAAUGCGUAGAGAUGCGGCGGAACACCGAUGGCGAAGGCAGCCCCCUGGGCUGAGAUUGACGCUCAGGCACGAAAGCGUGGGGAGCAAACAGG
rnacentral:rRNA from 1 species